rnacentral:rRNA from 1 species
UACCAGCACCCCGAGUGGUCGGGACGAUUAUUGGGCCUAAAGCAUCCGUAGCCGGUCCUGCAAGUCUUCCGUUAAAUCCAGCUGCUCAACAGAUGGGCUGCGGGAGAUACUACAGGGCUAGGAGGCGGGAGAGGCAAGCGGUACUUUAUGGGUAGGGGUAAAAUCCGCUGAUCCAUAGAAGACCACCAGUGGCGAAGGCGGCUUGCCAGAACGCGCUCGACGGUGAGGGAUGAAAGCUGAGGGAGCAAACCGG